CUAAGGAAAUAGUAGCCGUGAUUUUACCCAAGAAUUUUUCACAUAUCACAGUUGCUGUUUCUUUUAGAU
rnacentral:pre_miRNA from 2 species